GGAGUUUAACCGCAGGUUAACUCUUUUUUAUGAAUCAGAUUCUUGAAGCACCAAAUGAGGAAGAAGUUCCACUACUUCUGGAGAUAUAUGGGCUCUGUCUUACCGGAGGAAAGGAAGUUCAUAAUGCUAUAAUCAGCAGUGUAUGUGAUUUGGCAAAAGCAUUCUCAGCAUACCAAGAUGAAGUACUGGCAAAGCGAGAAGAAUUGCUCCAAUAUGCUCAAGUUGCAGUUUCAGGAUUGAAAAUA